UUUAUACUCCCUCUGCCCCAAAAUUCUUGUCUUAGAUUAGUCUUGAUACAGAUGUAUCUAAUACCAAAACGUGUCUUGAUACAUCCGUAUUUAGAAAAUCCAAGACAAGAAUUUUGGGAUUGAGGGAGUAUUUC
rfam:Triticum aestivum genome assembly, contig: Triticum_aestivum_CS42_TGACv1_scaffold_327857_4BS